rnacentral:antisense_RNA from 1 species
AGUAUUGAUAGACUGCCUUUAUGCAAAUCCCUUUGGAAGAAAGGAUGGAGAGGAAGAAGCUGGAAACAGAUGAGAGGCAGGAAAUACCAAAUUGCAUGUUUAUAAAUGCUGUGAAGGAAUAUGGCAAGAGAGGAUGAUGCUAGACUGGCAGCCAUGGAAACUGAAGUCUUCUGUUUGUUCACAGGACAGCUCAUAACCCUGAAAGUCCCAGUUCAAGCUUCCACAAUCAUCCUACACAAGAGCACUGCUUCUCACAGGACUGCCUCAGCCUGGCAGGAUUCAGUCUCCUGCUCUGAGGGAAAAAGAGGAAGUCAAGGAUCAAGACCGAGUGCUCAACUGAGAUCAGAAAGGAGGACACACAGUGACUUUGCCAAAUGGAGAUUCACACAGUAGAGCUCAGACGAGUGCUAUCAGCACAGCUGAGGAAGACAAGAGUUAGGGUGCAAGGAUCCUGAAAGAGAAACAUUGGUUGUG